AUUAAGUAUAUAUUAUAUGAAACUUCAUCACAAUAUUUGUCUCCUACACAUUUUUGUCCCUGCUUGGCUUUUAGUAUUCUGAAGGAAGGGGCCAUUUUCUGUUCAUUUUAGUUUUCCAGUAUUUGGUAAGAAGAGCUAGGAUGUAAAAUUAAUAUUUUUUUCUUUUGUCUAUUCUUUUUCCUCCCCCUCCUCUACCCUCUCCUCUUCCUCCUCUACCCUCUCCUCUUCCUCCACUCUCUCCUUCUCCUCCUUCACCCCUCCUUCUGCUUCAUUCACUCCCCACCUCCUCCUGCUUCCUCCUCCACCCUUUCCUCCUCCUCCCCCUUCCUCUUCUCCUCUUUCUGUCUCUAUCUCUCUCUGAUGUAGAUAUAGAUGUAAUUCUUAAAACUAACUUAGUGGAUGGCCGAGGUGUAAUGCCAUUCCACAAAGCACGUUGAUGGCAGCGGCUGCUUUGGGUGUCUGGUUGAGGUAGAGGAAAAGUCCUGCCACCUGGUGGGAACUCAGGGCUUGAGACCCAUUUCUGCAUAGAGAGGAGGUGGCUGGGCUUCACUGUGUCUCUACCACUGGCACAGAGAUAUAGAGCUGUCUAGUUCUUUUGCACCGAUGUCAUGGUGAGAGAGAAGAAUGCCUUCUUCAUCCGAGAGGCACUGUAGCCUUCAGAAGUUAUACUCUUGGAAGACUACAUUCCUGAUCCUUCACAUGGAGUGUGCUGUGGAAGCUUCCUGAAGUCCUGCUCGGGGAUAUUCUUCUAAGGGUGUCUCCCCACCUCCCAACUGGCACCCAGCCACUGCCCUCCUCCACCCUAGCAGGGAGAGGAGGGCCAGAGCAUGUGAAAUAAUUUCAAAAUAUCAAAAGGCAGAAACAGAAAACAUAGUAAAGUGACAUGAUUUCUACCCCAUCCUGGUGAGGGCCCACUUCCUUGGCACAUAUACAUUUGAAGUGACUUUGCAUUCACUUGCCUUUUGAUUUUCUGAAAUUGUCCCAUCAAAGCAAGUGAUAAUAAACACUUUUCUGUAA